rnacentral:lncRNA from 1 species
GGAAAUCAGGUGUAAUGAAACCUGGAGUUCGAGAUGGUAAAAAUCUGAAGCGAAAUGGAAAGAAUGGGGUUGAAGUUUUAAUCAACGUGUUAGCAAAGAAGGGUAUGUCGGUGGAUCAGUUUGUUACUGCUUCCUUGAGGCUAGAUAGUGUUUUUCAUGGACCUGAUGAGGAGGAGGUGGAGGAGGGCGUUUUUAUGGGGGAUGCUAGUGAAGUUUCUCCUUCAAAACGCAGUAAGAUACAAGUCUUAAACCCAGCGAUGUCUGUUAACCUGGUGGGAGCUCACGGCGAGCCCCACCAAGAGCAAUGAAUGCUACAGCCGAGAACUGCCGGGGGGUGGGGAACUCCCGGACAGUUCGCGACUUGACUGCCCUUAUGCAGUCCUAUCACCCCAAGCUUGUUUUCCUUUCGGAGACUAGGCAAAGUGAGGAAAGAAUGAAGAAUUUGAGGUGAAGAAUUGGUUUGAAAGGCUGUCUUGCUGUGGGCAGCGAUGGAAACAGUGAAGGGAUAGCUCUGUUCUGGGACGAAUCAAUCUCGGUCAAGCUGAUUGGCAUGUGCAACAGACUUAUAGAUGUCACAGUUCAGGAGUGUCCGACUUCACCUCCAUUCAGGGUCACUUUCGUUUAUGGUGAACCACGCAUGGAGGAUAGGAAAAAGAUGUGGGAACUGUUGCAGCGUACUAAGGAUAAGUCACAAGAUCCGUGGCUUGCCUUGGGUGAUUUUAAUGAAGCACUAUGGCAGUUUGAACAUUUUUCGGCUACUAAAAGAGGGGGAAAAAAUGGAAGAUUUUCGGGAUGUUCUAGAUAUAUGUGAUCUACAUGACAUCGGUUUUGCCGGACUUCCUUGGACCUAUGAUAACAAGAGAGGUGGGAAACGAAAUGUUGAGGAACGCCUCGACAGAGUUGUGGCCUCCCCUUCAUGGUCAAGUUUGUUUAGUAAUGCUUGUGUGAAACACCUUACAUCCCCAUGCUCGGAUUAUUGCCCGAUAUUGCUGCAGAUGUACCAAGGGAAGGGAGCUGAGAAGCUGAAUAAAAUUAGGCGAUACGAAAUUAUGUGGGAACGUGAGGAAUCUCUGGGACAAGAAAUAGAGGCUGCAUGGGAGGCUGCCGGAGCAAAACCAUGUCUGGGAGCUGUUUCUAAGGCUCUAAAGGAGGUGAUGUGCUCCCUGCAACAAUGGAGCCAUGAUAAAUUCAGGUCGGUCAGAAAGAAACUUGAGGAUCUAAGAAGAAAGCUGGAAGCCUUGCAGGGACAUGUGACCAAUCUAAUGCGGUGGAGAUUAAAGCAACCAUUGCAUGAAUAGGAUGAAUGAAAUCUUAUACCGGGAGGAGAUGAUGUGCAAAGAUUGCGAAUCUCAUGGCUCAAAGAGGGUGAUCGAAACACCAAAUUCUUCCACCAGAAGGCACAAUGGCAUUCUAGAAAAAAUAGAACAAAGAAGCUCAGAAAGGGUAAUGGUGAAUGGUGUGAUGAUUGGGAAGGAAUGAGUGCUCUAACCAGGGAUUUUUUUUCCAGAAGUUGAUCCUGAUUUACUGAUGCCCCUUUUUGAAAAGCGUGUUACACCGGAUAUGAAUGAUCGUUUGUGCAAGGAGUUCACGGAGGAGAUAGGAGACGCCCUGUUCCAGAUCGGGCCGUUAAAGCCGGGACCGGACGGUUUCCCGGCGCGUUUCUUCCAGAGGAAUUGGAGUACAUUGCGGCGGGAGGUGACGCUCGCUGCCCAGCAAUUUUUCCGGUCCGGAGUGAUGCCGGAAGGAGUCAACGACACCGCCAUUGUUCUGAUUCCUAAAGUAGCACAUCCAGAAUGCUUGUCUGAAUUCAGACCAAUAAGUCUGUGCAACGUGAUUUAUAAGAUUGUCUCCAAGUGCUUGGUAAACAGAUUACGACCUUUGCUAAAUGAGCUGAUAUCUCCACAGCAAAGCGCCUUCAUCCCGGGGCGUUUGAUUACUGAUAAUGGCAUUAUAGCCUUUGAAUGCUUGCAUGCAAUCCAGCAGGGGAUGACUGAAAGGAAUAAUUUCUGUGCGUAUAAAUUGGAUCUCUCGAAAGCGUAUGAUAGGGUGGAUUGGGGCUUCUUAGAAAAAGUUUUGUUGAGGCUGGGCUUUCAGAGUUCAUGGGUGUGGUGGGUGAUGUCUUGUGUCACCACUGUGCGCUACUCGGUGUGCCUCAAUGGGGUUCCGUUGGAAUCCUUCCAACCAUCCCGCGGAUUACGCCAAGGUGAUCCUCUCUCGCCAUAUCUUUUCCUUUGUCUAUAAUGCCCUCUCCUCUGCUCUAUAGAAAGAUGUGCAGGACAAUGUUAUUGAAGAGCUGAAAAUCUCGAGGCAUGCACCUGGUAUUUCACACCUCCUAUUCGCAGAUGAUGCUCUACUUUUUUUCAGAGCUAAUGCUGAGCAAGCAAGCAGGAUCAGAAACCUCAUAUCAAUAUUUGAAAGAGGCACGGGCCAAAAGCUGAGCCCAGCAAAAUGCUCGCUGUUAGCUUGGAAUUCACUAGAUACAGGGCGAAAAGAAGACAUCCAUGCUGUUCUGGGAGUUGAAAAGCUCUAGUUUGAAGCAAAAUACUUGGGGUCGCCGACCCUAGAGGGCAGAAAGAAAAGAGAUCGUUUCCAACCACUGAGGGAACGUAUGGGGAAACGCAUGGCAAUGUGGUCAAGAAACACCUAUCAGCUGCUGCAAAAGAGGUGCUCAUAAAAGCUGUGGCGCAGUCUAUUCCGACGUAUACGAUGAGUAUUUUCCAUCUGUCAGCAAGCUUCUGUGAAGAACUCGCACGUGGUGUGCGGAGGUAUUGGUGGGGAGAGGAUGUUGACAGCCGAAGAAUUCAUUGGAUUGCAUGGGAGGCUUAUCGAGUUCCCUAACAGCCUCUGUGCAAAACUGAUGAAAGCUAAAUAUUUUCCUAAUGGUGAUCUACUGGAUACAACGUUUCCCUUGCAAACUUCCCCAACAUGGAAGGCAAUUAUGCAUGGUUUAGAAUUGCUGAAAAAAGGUAUGAUAUGGCGAGUGGCAGAUGGAACAAAAAUCAAGAUUUGGAGACACCAUUGGCUACCAAGAGCUUGGUCGUUGAGUCCAAUUGGCAACAAGAGAUCCAAAACAGCUCAAUUUCGUCGGCCCCAUUUAUUUUCGUCGGCCUAAGACAAACCGACAAAAACAACUAAAUUAUUUCGUCGGCCCUCCCAAGCUGACAAAAUUAUGCUUAUUUUCAUCGGCCUGGUCACAGCCGACGAAACAAAGGAAAUACUUUUAUCGGCUUAACCUAGACCGACGAAAAUAAUAGUAAUUUCAUCGGCCUAAUUUGGCCGACGAAAAUAUAGUUGCCCUAAUAGAAAUAGCUAUCAUCAUGCUGCACGCACGUUUUCUUUAUCCCCGCGCCGCCCCAACCCCUGCGCGGCCCCCGCGCCCCCGCCGCCCCACCCCCGAGCCACCGCCGCAGCGCGCCUGCACUGUGCCGCCCCCGCGCCGCCGGCCCGCCACCCCUGCACCGUCCCCGCGCCGACCACAGUAAAGCACUAUGGUCUAACCCUAGCUGUAGAUUUUUGGAGAUUUUGCUCUCUUGUGGCUUAAGUUGUGGGAAUUGGUGUGAUUGCAGUGGUGUCGGAUGAGGUGCCGCUUGUGGUGUCGCGGCAGCUGCUGCACACGUUUGCACAGGACCUUGGGAAGCUGGAGUCCGACGCGCAGAAGGAGGUCGCCCACUACGCGCUCAUGCAGAUCCAACCACGUGUGGUCUCCUUCGAGGAGCAGGUAGGACAACUUAGUUUCACCCUGCGAAUGCUAUUUUAAGUCCCAGAAAGUACUAUUUUAGCUUCAACACAUCGAACUGAUAGCUUACUGCAAUUGGUUGACCGAACUCUUUUAGAAUGCUAAAUAAUUAUUUGUUAUAAUGAUUUGGGAAUUUGAAUAACGUUAGUGAAGUGUUAACGCAACAGUUGAAGCGGCUCCAUUAUGCUAGCCACCAUUAUUUCUAUAUGCUUAGUUUCCAAAAUAAAGAUAUAACAAGUUUUAGGGCCAGGGGGAUGCUCUCAAGUUUUCCAGCCUUCCCCGCCAUUUUUUAUAGUUUGGUUGAUGUUAGGUAUAGAUAGAAAGGCCUAUUGACUUGGUGUAUCCUCUGUGAAUCUACUCAUAUUUAUUGAUCUAGUAAAUGGUGAAAUUUUAGGAAUAUAGAUAAUGGAUGUAUAGUAAAUUGUGGUGUUCGUUUGGGGAAGUUGGGUGUUUUGUUUUAUUUUCUGUGGCCACAUUUCCACUUUCUGCAAAUUCGUUGGAAGACACUGCACCCAUUAUUUUAUUCAGUUUAAUUCUAGAGCUACAGGGAAAGACAACUUUGCACCUGCUCUCCUCUUUCGUAGUCCCGAUCUGUUUCCCCCCUCUCUACUUGCCUUUCUCAUUCACAUUCCUCCCCCCCCCCCUCAAAUCCAUGUCAAGUGGCAUGAUGUGUUGUGGCGGUCCAUUGUGAACGAGAUGCAGUGGUGGGCCCCGGCGGGAUCCGGUGGCUGAGGCCAAGGUCUUCAUCCAGCGUGAUAGACAGACCGAUGAUGCAGGCGGCCGUUGGGUCCUCGACACUGGAGCUACUAACCACAUGACAGGUGACCGGAGCAUGUUCGCCGAGCUCAACCCUGCCAUGUGUGGAACCGUGCGUUUCGGCGAUGGAUCGGUGGUGAACAUUGAAGGGCGCGGCAUGGUCCUCUUCGCCUGCAAGUCCGGCGAGCACUGUGCACUCACCGGCGCCUGCUACAUCCCGCGUCUCACUGCCAAUAUCAUCAGUAUUGGGCAGUUGGACGACGCCGGGAGCAAGGUCGACAUCGAGCACGGCAUUCUGCAUCUCUUCGCCCCCGACUGUCGUCUCCUCGCGAAGGUCACGCAUUCGCCGAACUGGCUCUACUAUCUUGACCUCCACAUCGCCCACCCGGUGUGUCUGGUAGCGUGCAGCAGUGAGCCAAGCUUGCUCUGGCAUGCGCGCUAUGGGCACCUCAACUUCCAGGCACUUCGCCGUCUCUCGCAAGAGUCCAUGGUUCGCGGUCUUCCUCCGGUCGAUCGUGUCAACCAGCUCUGCGACGCGUGCCUGGUUGGGAAGCAGAAGAGGGCGCCGUUCCUGCAACAGGUCGUCUACCGAGCCGAAGAACACCUGGAACUGGUCCAUGGCGACAUCUGCGGGCGUAUCGAGCCUACUAUGCCGGGGGGCAAGAGGUAUUUUCUCCUGCUGAUCGACGAUAUGAGUCACUUUAUGUGGCUCACCCUGAUCGCCAGCAAGGAUGAGGCAGCAGCAGCCAUCAAGCACUUCAAGGCCCGUGCGGAGGUAGAGAGCGGGCACAAGCUGAAGGCGCUGUGCACAGACCGGGCCGGAGAGUUCAUGUCGAUCGAGUUCGGCGAGUACAUGGCAAGCCACGGUGUUCACUAGCAGCUGACGGCUCCCUACUCGCCCCAACAGAAUGGGGUCGUUGAGCGCCGCAAUCAAACUAUGGUCGCCACUGCCCGCAGCAUGAUGGAGGCAAAGGGUGUCCCGGGGAGGUUCUGGGGGGAGGCCCUGCACACCACGGUCUAUCUCCUGAACUGCUCCCCCACGAAGGCGCUGAACGCAGUGAUGUCGUACGAGGCCUGGUAUGGCGAGCAGCCGUCUAUCCAUCACCUGAGGACUUUCGGCCACGUGUAGGAUCGAGAUGGCGGACUAGAGGGGGGUGAAUAGUCCUUUCUAAAACUAAUUGCGCCGGCUAACCGAAACUUAUGCGGAAUUGAAACUAUUCGCUUAGCCAAGACUUCACCCCUCUAACUAUGACUCUAAGGCACUUCCAAAAAGAUCCUACACAAAGCAAAUGGAGUGCCAAGCUAGUAAGAGCUCUCCUAACAAUUCUAAUGCCAAGCCACACAAGUCUAAGCACUAGUACUUUACAAAUAAGGGGAGCUCCUACACAAUUCUAAUGGGCAAUAGCACAAAGCCAAACCUAAGCUCACUAGAUGCUCAAGGACAAGGAUACACAAUACAAACUCAAGAGCUCAACUUGCUUAGCUACACAAUCUAAGCAAGAGCAACUAAUUAAACUACACAAGCUAACUAGUUACACUAUGAUCUCUACUUCUAGCUACACAAGCAAGAAGAUGAUUAGCAAGCUACACAAACUAACUAAACACUAGAGAGCAACUACACAAACACAAGAUAUAUAUGAAUGUAAAUACAAGGCUUGUGAUUUGGAGAAUGCAAACCACCGAGAAGAGUAGACAAGAUUGACACAGUGAUUUUUAUCCCGAGGUUCACUUGGUUGCCACCAAGCUAAUCCCCGUUGAGACAAGCUCCAAGGUUGCCGCCGAUCCUCUUGCUAGUGGUGACUCUCAAGUCACACUCUCCCACGUGGAGUGCUCACACCGAGCUCUAGCACAUGAUCCGGACGAACCACUUGUUGCUUUUCACGUCUCGCUCAACUAGAGUUGCUCUUCGCGGCUCCCGCGGGGUGAGCACAAUACCCCUCACAAUCUCUUCUCCGGAGCACCGCACAAUCUUCUUGCGGGCUUCAACGGAGCCUCUUCCCACCAAACCAUCUAGGAGGUGGCAACCUCCAAGAGUAACAAGCACACCGGCUUGCAACACGAUCACCUAGUGCCACUCGAUGCAAUCUCUCAAAGCAAUCGCACUAGAAUCGCUCUCUCACUCAAUUGGAUGAUCACUAUCAAGUUAGAGUGAGUAGAGGGCUCUCAAGCACUCUCACACAUGGACACCAAGUCCCCAAGGUGCUCAGCACCCUCAAAUGGCCGGCCACACCCUCUAUUUAUAGAGGGAGGCCCCAAACUAGCCGUUACACUCAAAUCCCGAGAAAACAGAGAUUUCGCGGACUGUCCGCCUCACAGAAACCGGACCGUCCGCCAUUCAAAACCAACGGCUAGAACAGCAAUUAUUAUGUGUCAGAGUCGACCGUUAGAGCCCCUGGCGGACUGUCCGCGCCCUUGGGGCGGACUGUCCGCGGUUCAAAACUUCGAACCAACCGAUUUGCAAACAUCUCUGACUAAAUCUGGAAGUGACCGGCGGACUGUCCGCACCCCAUGGGCGGACUGUCCGCAGUUCAAAAAGUGAGCACACACAGAAACCGUAGUGUUUCUGUCCCAGAAUUUUCAGUAGGAGGCGGACCGUCCGCCCCCAAGGACCGGACGGUCCGCAGUUCAUUUUGGACACCCAAGAUAGAACUACCAAGAAUCUGCGCCCGUUUCAGCUUUUAGUGGCGGACCGUCCGCCCCAUGGACCGGACGGUCCGCAGUUCAUUUUGGACCACCAACAGAGCCAAAAAUGGCUCUGUUAGAGCUCAUCCGGGAUAAUGGCAGACCGUCCGCCCCCCAUGGGCGGACCGUCCGCAGGUCUAUUUCCAGCAGAAAUGUACCUCGGUAAAACGGCCAUAACUCUUAGCUCCGAUGUCCAAAUUAGGUGAUCUUGGACUCUAUGGAAAGCUAAUUCAGAGGGCAACAUAACCCAACUGAAUACUUGGUCCAAAACAUAAUGGAUCAAAGCAGUAUUCCACUCCAAGAGACAACCUAAUUUCCGGAGAAAACCGAAAAACCUUUCUUGCUUCCCAAAGUUGAUCAACAUCAACUCCAACUCUUUCUCCUUUGCAAAUGUGCCAACACCACCACGUGAACAAAACCAUGUGCAUGUGUGUUAGCAUUUCACAAUCAUUUUCAAAGGAUUUUCACUUGAUCUCACCACGCCACUCGAUCCUAGCAACAUCGCAAUGUUAGAUCGCUCAAGUGGCACUAGAUGACCGAUAUGCAAACAAGUUUGCCCCUCUUGAUAGUACGGCCAUCUAUCCUAAAUCCGGUCAGGCACUUCUCUACACAACCUUUGACCGGUGAAAUGAAAUGCCCUACAAGUCAUACCUUUGCCUUGCGCAUUUCAUUUCAUUUUCCCAAAUGUUGAUGCCACACAAGCACCAAAUUCCAUCAAGCCUUUUGAUCAUCUUCAUAAGUCAACACUUGGCUUGAUCUUUCUUGAAUGAUAUGAUCCACUCCAUAUCAUCACAUGACCUCUUUGGUCCAUCGAUCUUGACCUUGCUCGCUCUUCACCGUUGCCUCGGUCCAUCGGCGCCAAAUCUUGCUCAAGCUUCACCGCCUCGCGGUCCCUCGCUUCAAAGCCUUGACUUGCCCUUCUCCAUUGCAACCGGUCCAUCAAGCCAAGCCUUGUCUUGAUCUUCUCCAUUUUGGUCACAUAACUCCAUGUUAUGUCUCAUAUGCAAUGAGCUCCUCGAUCACACUAUAUGAGCAUAGCAUCAACCCUUAGCCAUUUCUCCUCCAUGGCACAUGUUGCUCAUACUAGUGUCUUUGUGUGGACUAAUCUCCUGUGUAUCUCAACAUAAACACUUAUUAGUCCACCUAAGUUGUUCAUCAAUUACCAAAACCAAACAAGGGCCUUUCACCACGUCGGCCAUGUCAAGGACGUGCGGCCUCACGUGAAGAAGCUGGCUGAUCGCUCCACACCAAUGGUCCUACUCGGCUACGAGCCAGGGAGCAAGGCGUACCACCUCUACGACCCGGCAGGUGGACGCGUGCAUGUGUCGCGUGACAUCGUCUUUGACGAGAAUGCGAGCUGGAACUGGGAGACUACAUCAGCACCGGCCCAGGGCGCUGAGCCAUUCAGCAUGGAGUCCAUGUCCUUGCCCGUCAGUGGCAGGGUGCCGGAGCCUGCUGCAACAUCAUCCUCUCCGAGCCCUCCACCUGCGUCACCACCACUGGGAUCACUAACUCUCACCAUGGCGUCGGCGUACACCCCUGAUGCGGCAUUAGUUGCAGCCUCGCCAUCUCCGCAGGACGGGAUCGAGAUCGUGACGCCACCGACGUUCGACGACGCGCUCGACUCGGACGUAUACGACUCCGUGCCUCAGCGUUACCGGCGCAUCGACAACAUCCUCGACGGCGGUGCUCACCCUGGGUAUGCACCUCAUGCACUUGACUUUGAUGAACUCCAUGCAGUCACCAUUGAGGAGCCUGGGUCGUUCAAGGAGGCCGAGCAUGCACCGGAAUGGCAGAACGCCAUGAAGGAGGAGAUGGACGCCAUCGUCGCCAACGGGACUUGGAGUCUCACUGAGCUCCCCGCCAGUCACCGCGCUAUAGGCCUCAAGUGGGUCUACAAAGUGAAACGUGACCAGCUGGGCGCCAUCGUCCGUCACAAAGUGCGCUUGGUGGCCAAAGGAUACAUCCAGCAUCAGGGGGUGGAUUUCGAAGAGGUGUUCCCACUGGUGGCGCGUCUCGAGUCCAUGCGCCUCAUGCUCGCCAUCGCCGUGCACUGGAACUGGCCGGUUCAUCACAUGGACGUGAAGUCGGCGUUCCUAAUCGGAGACCUCCAGGAGGAGGUGUACGUCGCUCAGUCGCCCGGCUUCGUCGACAAGGACCGCCCCGGCAAGGUACUGCAUCUUCACAAGGCGUUGUACGGACUACGUCAAGCCCCUCGCGCCUGGAACACCAAGCUGGACGCGAUGCUAUCAUCCCUCGGCUUCAGGCGCAGUGAGAAUGAACACGGCGUCUACACGCGCGGCAAAGCCCAGAAGCGGCUGAUGGUUGGCAUCUACGUUGACGAUCUUAUCAUCACCGGUGGCGACGAUGCGGAGCUCAAGGUGUUCAAGGAAGACAUGAAGAGGCAGUUCCAGAUGAGCGACCUAGGCACACUGUCGUACUAUCUCAGCAUCGAAGUGUGCCGGGGGCCAUCGGGGAUCACUGUCUCCCAGGAGCGGUACGCGCACAAGCUAGUGGAGAAGGCCGGCAUGGUCGGCUGCAAUCCUAGCUCCACGCCGAUGGAGCCUCGGCUCAAGCUACUCAAGGAGAGUACAGCUCCACCUGUAGAUGCCACAGCCUACCGGAGUAUCGUCGGGGGACUCAGGUACCUACUGCAUACGCGACCGGACAUCUUGUUCAGCGUCGGCUAUGUCAGCAGGUUCAUGGAGGCGCCAACUGAGGAGCACCAAGCUGCUGUGAAGCGCAUAUUGCGCUAUGUUGCAGGUACAGCAAGCCUGGGGAUACACUACAAGCGCGGUGUCAGGAGGACGCUGCCUCUAUUGCAUGGGUACAGUGACAGCGACCUCGCCAGCGAUGUCAACGAUCGCAAGAGCACCGGCGGGGUCAUCUACUUCCUCGGCGAUGGGCCUAUCUCCUGGCAAUCGUGCAAGCAGAUGGUGGUGGCCCUUUCAUCGUGCGAGGCGGAGUACAUCGCGGCGGCGACUGCAACAUGCCAGGGUGUCUGGCUAUUGCGCCUCCUCGCGGACCUGCUCGACGUUGAGGCUAGCGCGCCAGUACUACGGGUGGACAAUAAGUCCGCCAUCUCCCUCAUCAAGAACCCAGUACACCAUGACCGGACGAAGCACAUCGACAUCAAGUAUCGCUACAUCCGGGAGUGUGCUGAAAGAGGCCUGAUCGACGUUCAGUUCAUCGGAACGACGGAGCAGCUGGGUGACAUCUUCACCAAGGCCCUCGGUCGACUCAAGUACGACGAGCUGCGGAGCAAGAUCGGCCUCACCAAAUUUCUCUCCACCGGCAACAGGACUUAGGGGGUGAUUUGUUGGAUAUUAGGGGGUGAUUUGUUGGAUAAGUAUGUUAUCGACUAGUGCACAGUUAGGCAUUCCUAUCUUCCAGCUUAGCUAAGAUUAGCCAGCGCGCAUGCAGCCGCUCGCCGUGCUCACCAUGCGCGCGUUAUCCGCGGCACGUCCUAGCGAUGUGGGAUGGUGCGUCAUGUGCACGAACAAGAGCAUCGCCUGUCAUGACUUUUUUACUGAAUCCAGAUCAUCGCCAUUCUUGUGAGCAGGUGGAGCAGCCAGCAGCGUGUCGUAGCAGCCUCCCCUGCAGCACAGCAGCACCGCCAGGGAACCAGCACAGCGCAGAUUAGCAGCGGGCUCCCCAAGAUGUUGCUGUGCCGACCACCAGCAAUGGGGAGGGAAAAAAAGAAAAAAAAAUGAGGCCACUGCUUCUCACCAGGACCAUCGGCAAGAUCCCGCCACUGCAAGCAUCGCUGCUCUGCCCAGUAGGAGCUCCAUUGGCAUGCUACAUGCAGUCACGACGCCCACUGCUGCGAGUGGGCCUUCGCGCCGCCGUCCCUGCCUGGAGCUCCAUCACUCGCUACCCAGCCCGGAGCUCCAAUGCACCCUUCGUCGAGUGCUACAAAUGCCUCAGCCACCGGAUCCCGCCGGGGCCCACCACUGCAUCUCGUUCACAAUGGACCGCCACAACACAUCAUGCCACUUGACACGGAUUUGAGGGGGGAGGAAUGUGAAUGAGAAAGGCAAGGAGAGAGGGGGAAAACAGAUCGGGACUACGAAAGAGGAGAGCAGGUGCAAAGUUGUCUUUCCCUGUAGCUCUAGAAUUAAACUGAAUAAAAUAAUGGGUGCCGUGUCUUCCAGCAAAUGCACAUGGUUUUGUAGUGUCUACUAGCAAGCCACUCUUUCUUAGUGGUCUGUGGCAAAAGACACCUUUUAACAGUGUCCUGCAGCCAAUUUUGCCUUAACCCAUUUCAGACUAGAGAGAAGCAUGAACAUAGCUGUCACAUACUUACGCAUAGAAUUAAAACACAGGUUCUUGUCACAGCCAUAAAAAAAGGCAUGCGUGUGUGUUAUCCUGUACAAGUAAUCCCAUCUUAGCAUUUUCUAAAUAAACCGUGAUUUCAGGUCAUAGUUACUUAACAGUUUAGAAGACCACUUUCUGUUUCAACAUUCAUAAGUGGAAAACAGUAAGUACUUUGUGGAUAGCUAUCAGCAUUGUUCUAAGGGAAAUAAAUAGCUAGUUUAGAAGAUCACUUCAAGUGGAAAAUGGUAAGUACUUUGCAGAUAACUAUCAGCAAUUCACCAUUGUUCUAAAGGGAAGAACUGGCUCGUAAUUCUCAUAUUUUAUAGCUACAAGAAGAUUUCCUAAGCAUUUACAGUACUUAAAAAACUGCAUGGUUAGUAAAACACUAUAUACCUCAUUUCUUUACUUCAAGGGUAGCAAGUCCAGUAAUAUCAGGAUUCUUGAGCUGCUCAAGCUGUCUCUUCCCUCUCCUCAGCAAGUACUCUAUGUAUACAAAGUUCCUACGGUCGACAUUCCUUGCGUUGUCACGGAACUCUGCCGAGACAACAGACUCGAUCCUGCGCCGCUCUUCUGGGUCUUCUAGGCGUGCUGUCCGAAGGAAUCCCCUGUACAGCGUCAAGACCUGCUUCUGAAUACCAGACAGCUUUGGACGGGAGGCCAUUUCAUUGAGCAACCAUCAAAGCCUGAUACAAAUACCACAAAUGAGUUAUCUACAGGCGAUCCAUAUGCUCUCGCGAUUGAGAGACACUAGAAGAAUUUUCAAUGGAUGGAGCAUCAAGCAAUGCUCUUCCUCAGUUUCUCUAACAGAAACAAACUGGGCUGCAUCAAAAUUAACUGCCACAGCAAACAAACCAUGGCAACAGCAGGUUUACGUAAAUCCAGGAGAGACGUAACAGCAAUGAAUCAAUAGCUAACUGAAGGGAGACCAAAAUUUUGGAUAGUGUUUGUUUCAUCCAAUGGGGAGGUAACAGUAAUGUUAUCAACUACCCCCGCUAUCUGUUACAGAGUAACGAUUCCUAGAUUUUGUUUGGUUACCUUGGGUAACGUUAUUCAGAUUCUUUUGUGUGUUUGACUGGGAACAACGGUAAUGGACAGCAGUAUGCUGCUGAUUUGAACUAACGCUUACAGAAAAGCACAUGCAUAACAAAGUAUCCAUGGUCUCCAAAUCAGUAGAACAUUUUAUCAAGCUUACAGGGCAGCACAGGCUCUUGAUUCUAUUGAAGAGAAAAGUGGCUGGGUAGGCUAAUUAACAGGCAUCAAGCAACAUUUGAAUUAAAAACUAUACUGCAUAUAAGAAGUCCAAGGCAAAAUGAAAUAAAGUUCAAAAGUUAUGAGAAGUUCUGUAUGAAUAUUUCUUGAGCUUCAAAGGAUAAAAAAUUCAGAAAGAUGACACAAUAACAUGUCUUAGAGCUUCAACUUCAAAUGCUUGGCAAAUUCAGAAGUUUAUAUGAACAAUCUAGCACAAGGUUGAUCUGAUACAAUGGCUUCUGAAAUUCUUAGCAAAAUUUGACGCUUACUCAUCACUUCUUCCUUUGAGCCUCAUCCAAUGAAGAGAAAAACAUUACAAACAUAUAUAAGUGCAAGAAGGAUUUGGAUAUGUAAUAGAGGCAAGGUAAAAAUGACAGUAUCCAGAUGAUAGAAUUAGCAAGGCAGGAUCAGGCAAGUUAAAAACUUUGGACUAAGCCACAUUUUCUUGGGAUCUGACUAUAUGCAAGUCUCAGAAUAUUUUAAUUGCCCAUCAGAUUAAUUAACCAUGAGGGAUCAGAAACACUAUCAAUUAAACAUCAGGUUAUUUCAAUUAUAGAACCUCUACUCGAAGAAGUGUUUCAUUCUUGAUGUUGAAUCAAUGCAAAUUCAUUUUCAAAGACAUAUUCAGUACUAUUUAACAAAUGAGAUGCUUAGAGACAUAUUCAGGUGACAUAUUAAGUAGAUAUCGAAACCAUAUUGUGUCUAUUACUAACUCACUUUUAUAUUGAAAAUUCCAUUCAGUUAUCUACCCACCCCUUUCUGUGCAUGCAGUAGCAAGGAGAUCAGACUGCUGACAGUUUGAUACCUACUGAAACUAAUAUUAUUAUGUCUGAUGAUCAGUGAAAAUCAUUCCAAAGAAAAGUCACCUAGUGAUGAAAACUUCGAAACAACAGGGCCCGGAACUACCUGCAGCACAAGCAAAGUGUACCCUGUUCUAAAUGCUUGUCUAAUUCCAGACUCGAUGUACAACAGCCUCAUCUAAUGAAGAUGUAAAAUUAGAAAGGAGCCAUAGUACUACUUCAACCCAAACAAUCAGGCAAGGCCACAUGAAACAGAAAGCAUCAUUCACCAUGCAGGGAAAUAAAGUGGCAGACCAGACAAAGGAAUUAAGCUGUUUAAUCUAGCAACAUAAUGAGUCAGUUUUUUCUGCAACUAUCUAGCAAGAAUGACAUAUGAGCAAGGCUAUCAUUGCGUCCUGAGAGUAUGAAUUUCCUGAGAAUGAGGUCUCCCUCUCCCUCUCCCUCUCGCGCUCGCUCUCCCUCCCUCUCCCUCUCCCUCUCGCUCCCUCUCUCUCUCCCCUUCUCCCUCUCUCCCUCUCGCUCUCUCUCCCUCUCCCCUUCCCUUCCUCUCUCUCAAAAAAGAACUCAACGGGAUGCAAAAUCAGACACCACUUUCACAUGAAGGCACUCGGAGGGGUAGGAAGAACACACACACCUUACAGAUUGUCAAUCCGAUUGAUGCAGGUCGUCUUCCCCCCGGGCCCCUCGCGGAGCUUGCCCUUUCGCUGAGAAUUCCGUCAAAAUCAAGAACACAUGACACGUUAUGGUUUGGGAAAAAGGUUGGGGGUGGAGCAGGAUGCAGGAGGGAGUGGGAGAGGGAGGGGGAGGGGAGAGAGGAUGGAUGGUCCUCACCAGUGAGAUGCGGCGCGCAGGAGACGCUGGCGUGGAUUGUGGCGGCGGCGCGAAGAAGAGAAAGUCGUGCGAGCCUGGGAGGGGUAGAGUCGUGAGAGCGGCGGGUGGAGUCGAGGCGACUGGCGAGGGGGGAAGGCAAGGGUCAGGUCGGACGCGGGUGGAGCAAAACCGACCCAUUGGGUGCCAAACCCGUGGACUUUUUAUAUUUUUACUAUUAUUAAACACCGUUAUCCAAAUAUCACUUUAACUAUUGCUCUUACAAAAUUGCCACCGAAAACAGAAAAAAUCUUACAAAUUUAUCUAAAAUGGACAUUUUUACGUGCAUGGUGUGCCAGAUCACGAUAUCAGCGUGGAGGCACGUUGCGAGAAAACGAAACUGCCCAUCCGCUGCUCCUCUCUCUCCCUCUCCGACACCUAGGUCCUGCAGCUCCUCUCCUGCCAGGUGGGCCUCACUCGUCAGCUUUGUCUCCCAUCCCCAGUACCGGAGAGGCAAGGCCACCCGCGCCGCCGAGGCCGAGGUCGCCCGCGGCCAGGCCACCUAUGCCGCUGGGCCGAGCUCGCCCGCGGACUGGGCCAUCCGCGCCGCCGCCAGGGCCGAGCUCGCCCGCGGCCAGGCCACCCGCACCGCCGAGGCAGAGCUCGUCGGCCAGGGCCACCCCUCUCGAUCUCUGCUCUCUCCCUCUCGCUCCGAGCGGGACGAGGGCGCGCUGCUCCAACUCACGGCGUUCUGGUCCUGCAACAUAGUGCAAUAUGCGCUUCACAGCAGCUUGGUGCUCCUCAGUUGGUGCCUCCAUGAACCUGCUGACAUAGCCGACACUGAGGUACAGCAAGCCUGGGGAUACACUACAAGCGCGGUGUCAGGAGGACGCUGCCUCUAUUGCAUGGGUACAGUGACAGCGACCUCGCCGGCGAUGUCAACGAUCGCAAGAGCACCGGCGGGGUCAUCUACUUCCUCGGCGAUGGGCCUAUCUCCUGGCAAUCGUGCAAGCAGAAGGUGGUGGCCCUUUCAUCAUGCGAGGCGGAGUACAUCGCGGCGGCGACCGCAACCUGCCAGGGUGUCUGGCUAUUGCGCCUCCUCGCGGACCUGCUCGACGUUGAGGCUAGCGCGCCAGUGCUACGGGUGGACAAUAAGUCCGCCAUCUCCCUCAUCAAGAACCCAGUACACCAUGACCGGACGAAGCACAUCGACAUCAAGUAUCGCUACAUCCGGGAGUGUGCUGAAAGAGGCCUGAUCGACGUUCAGUUCAUCGGAACGACGGAGCAGCUGGGUGACAUCUUCACCAAGGCCCUCGGUCGACUCAAGUACGACGAGCUGCGGAGCAAGAUCGGCCUCACCAAAUUUCUCUCCACCGGCAACAGGACUUAGGGGGUGAUUUGUUGGAUAUUAGGGGGUGAUUUGUUGGAUAAGUCUGUUAUCGACUAGUGUACAGUUAGGCAUUCCUAUCUUCCAGCUUAGCUAAGAUUAGCCAGCGCGCAUGCAGCCGCUCGCCGUGCUCACCAUGCGCGCGUUAUCCGCGGCACGUCCUAGCGAUGUGGGAUGGUGCGUCAUGUGCACGAACUUGCCGUGUUUAGCUCUAUAAUUAGGCUUUAUAUUCUGCAAUCAAAGAAGAAAACGCUGCCGCUACGCAGCACCAAAACGCCUGUGUCUUCCACUGUGAUCGCGUGUCCUCUCUCUCGCUCUCGCCGGCGUGAUUCUGACAUAGGGUUCCGGCAACAGAUUGCUCAAUAGGUUUCCUGCUGAAUUACUGGGAAAUACUGUGCAACAUCCGAAAAGAGGAAGUGCCUGACAGAAAGGGGAAGUAGGUGAUGGGAAACCAGCACAGCAAGAAGAAGCCUACAAAAGAGAGAAAGAGCCUUCGGUGGAUACCACCUGAAGAUUGUCUGAUCAAAAUAAAUGUAGAUGGUGCCUUCAUGAAUAAUGGUGAUGCCAGCAUUGUGGUGGUGAUUAGGAAUUCAGAAGGAACCGUCUUGCUUUCGGCCUGGCGGGUACUCUCCCAUGCUGUGAAUGCUGAAGAGGUAGAGUUAAUGGCUUGCCGGGAAGGGGUCGCAUUGGCGGUGGAAUGGACCCCUAUGCAUGCCAUCUUCGAGUCGGACUGUUUAUCUGCAUUACAGCUUCUGAGCAAGCAAGGGGAACAGAGAUCUUCAUCGAUGUUUCUAGUAAAGGAGAUCUGUGAUACGGCAAGGCGUAUGACUUCUCUCCGCUUCCAUCAUGUAAAGAGAGACCAGAAUGUAGUAGCACAUGAGCUUGCACAGUUUGCUAAACGGUUGUUUCAUAGUGCAGUAUGGCGCAACCGAGCUCCGACCUCUGUUGAGCAAAUAGUUGCUCAUGAACGUAACUUUGUUCGGUAAUUAAUAAAGCUCUCUCUUUAUCGUAAAAAAAAGAAGCCGGAGUGAAGAACCACCUGUGUAGGAUAUCCAUUUGCCGCCACCCCCCCCCCUCACGCGUGCUGCUAGGGGCACCCUAAUCUGCGGGCGACCGUAUGGAGGGGUUCCGUACGGUCGAUUUUCAAUCAGGUACUACCGUCCGCACUUAUCCCUUUCUCUCUUUCUAUUUUGAUAAAAAAUUAUAUACACAAAAGUUACAUAUAAACAUUUAUAGACACAAAGUUUGAUCAAAUUACAAAGACAAAAAUUGUAGAAAGAGAAAAUUAUAAAGGUCAGAAACAAAAAAUCACAACAAUUUUGGGAAAAAUUUUGAAACAAACUUUCAGUGAAACUUAAAAAAAAUCUUGAAUAAAAUUUUAGACGAUAAAAUUGGGAAACAAAAAAAAUCUAAGGAUAAAUUUGGGAGAAAAAAUUUCAGGAACAAAAAAUUUGGAAGCAAAAAUUUAAGAUUAAACUUGGGAGAUAAAGAUUUUCAAAACUUUUGGAAAAUAAAAAAUCAGAACCAAAAAUUUUGGAAACAAAACUUAAUAUCCAGUUUGGUUGAAAAAUUUAGGGAACAAACUUAGUCACAGGCUGGAACUAGGCAAACAAAAAGAAAAAAUGAAAAAGAAGAAAAUUAUAUUAGGGAGACGUACAAAAUUGGUAGUUUGAUACUUUCUACUUGGGAUAUAUCUAAUGCAAACUAUAACAAGGGGCAAUCAUAAAGCUCAAAUUACUACCUAAUUUAGCAGAACCACCAAAAACUAGAACAUCGGAUAAUCUCUUUUAGGAGAUAUGAAAAAGGUAAUUUUUCUACAAAAUUUAAAUAACAGGGAAAAUUGUGUUUUCAUUCUUCUAACAGCUCUUGAGUUUGAAUGUGUAUAACAAAAUGUUGGCACAACACUAUAUAGAUUGCCAUUGCCUCGAUCUUGUUUGAAUGAAGAACAAAUUUCCAACCAAGGUGCAGGCAUGCUUCUACACAAGAUAUGCUAGCUUCUAGGAAGAAACAAAUGGUCAAAUGAUUGGCGUACGAAAGUUGUGCAAGGGUGUUUGCAUAUGAAGUUUCUGUCCAUUGUUUCAAUUGAUGUACAGGAAACAUAUAUUAAACCAUUCAAGUCAUAAAUAUGAAAUCAAUACAAACAUGAGCUCAUCUUUUGAAGUUAAGAUGCAGAAUACAUACUUUUUAGAUUGUGCAGACUCAGAUAGAUCAAAGAAUUCCAUAGAAACUCGCCCUUCUACAGAACUUAGAGCAUAUCCUGGAGCAAGAUAGACAAGACUGAGAAUGCUCUGAAUGGUAAUGCAGAAAACAAAUGCUACUUACUAGUAGCACAAAAACACAUACAAAAGCAGUGCAUACUGCUCUGAUUAUUGCUUAUCUACUACUUUCUAGAAUAUUAGAUCUAGUAAUCUACAUCUACUGGGAACAUAGGACCGGAUCAGGAGCGGAGGAGCAGGAGCCUCAUGGGCCAUGGCCUUACCGGAGCAGGAGGCGUCGGAGCCUCGGAGGGGAUGACGGACGAGCUGCGGCGCGCCGGUGUCAGAGGAGUCGGGUGACGGGCAGCCGGCGGUCGGGGCAACAAGGCGAGCGGGCAGGCAGAUGCAGCGGCGGCGGAUGGGGACAGGAGAGACCGAGCUUUUAGUCGCCGCCAGGCUGCAUGGAGCCAACACGCGCUCAGUGGGGUAGGGGAAUGGGGGGCAGUUAUAGGGGUGGCGGCCCCUAGGCUCGCGGCUCUCGAGGAGACCAGUGGGAGUGGGGAGCGGCGGGGAGGAGACGGAGCCGGUGAUCUCACCUUGGGCAGCGCGCGGGGACGGAGCGGGCGGGCGGGGGGCGCGUCGGGGGGGGGGCGACGGGAGGGCGUCGGGGGCGGCGGGCGGCGCGUUGGGGGCGGCGGGGGGCGCGGCGGGGAGGAGGUCCAGAGCCGGCGCGGCAGGUCGUGGAGGAGUCGGGAUGGGGAGAGGAGUCGGGGUGGGGAAAGAAUAGCGGUCGGGAAAGAAGACGCGAAGCGGUAAGUUUGUAACCGGUGCCAGUGCGGGGGUAAUUACCUGCGCGAAUCGGUAGAAAUCUGGGUGCGAGCAGCUGCGUCGUUUCCACUGCGAGAAUCGCUAGAUUUCGAGGAAUCGCUUCGCGUUGCUAAGCCUUUGGCUGCGAUUCCAAAUUUCUCGCCGCGAAUCUGGCUCCCGAAGCCGAACCAAAGGGACCCAUAGGGGUCCAUUCCACCGCCGAUGCGACCCCUUCCCGGCAAGCCAUUAACUCUACCUCUUCAGCAUUCACAGCAUGGGAGCGUACCCACCAGGCCGAAAGCAAGACGGUUCCUUCUGAAUUCCUAAUCACCACCACAAUGCUGGCAUCACCAUUAUUCAUGAAGGCACCAUCUACAUUUAUUUUGAUCAGACAAUCUUCAGGUGGUAUCCACCGAAGGCUCUUUCUCUCUUUUGUAGGCUUCUUCUUGCUGUGCUGGUUUCCCAUCACCUACUUCCCCUUUCUGUCAGGCACUUCCUCUUUUCGGAUGUUGCACAGUAUUUCCCAGUAAUUCAGCAGGAAACCUAUUGAGCAAUCUGUUGCCGGAACCCUAUGUCAGAAUCACGCCAGCGAGAGCGAGAGAGAGGACACACGCGAUCACAGUGGAACACACAGGCGUUUUGGUGCUGCAUAGCGGCAGCGUUUUCUUCUUUGAUUGUAGAAUAUAAAGCCUAAUUACAGAGCUAAACACGGCAAGUUCGUGCACAUGACGCGCCAUCCCACAUCGCUAGGAUGUGCCGCGGAUAACGCGCGCAUGGUGAGCACGGUGAGCGGCUGCAUGCGCGCUGGCUAAUCUUAGCUAAGCUGGAAGAUAGGAAUGCCUAACUGUACACUAGUCGAUAACAGACUUAUCUAACAAAUCACCCCCUAAUAUCCAACAAAUCACCCCGUAAGUCCUGUUGCCAGUGGAGAGAAAUUUGGUGAGGCCGAUCUUGCUCCGCAGCUCGUCAUACUUGAGUCGACCGAGGGCCUUGGUGAAGAUGUCACCCAGCUGCUCCGUCGUUCCGAUGAACUGAACGUCGAUCAGGCCUCGCUCAGCACACUCCCGGAUGUAGUGAUACUUGAUGUCGAUGUGCUUCGUCUGGUCAUGGUGUACUGGGUUCUUGAUGAGGGAGAUGGCGGACUUAUUGUCCACCCGUAGCACUGGCGCGCUAGCCUCAACGUCGAGCAGGUCCGCGAGGAGGCGCAAUAGCCAGACACCCUGGCAGGUUGCGGUCGCCGCCGCAAUGUACUCCGCCUCGCACGAUGAAAGGGCCACCACCUUCUGCUUGCACGAUUGCCAGGAGAUAGGCCCAUCGCCGAGGAAGUAGAUGACCCCGCCGGUGCUCUUGCGAUCGUUGACAUCGCCGGCGAGGUCGCUGUCACUGUACCCAUGCAAUAGAGGCAGCGUCCUUCUGACACCGCGCUUGUAGUGUAUCCCCAAGCUUGCUGUACCUCAGCGUCGGCUAUGUCAGCAGGUUCAUGGAGGCGCCAACUGAGGAGCACCAAGCUACUGUGAAGCGCAUAUUGUGCUAUGUUGCAGGACCAGAACGCCGUGAGUUGGAGCAGCGCGCCCUCGUCCCGCUCGGAGCGAGAGGGAGAGAGCAGAGAUCGAGAGGGGUGGCCCUGGCCGACGAGCUCUGCCUCGGCGGUGCGGGUGGCCUGGCCGCGGGCGAGCUCGGCCCUGGCGGCGGCGCGGAUGGCCCAGUCCGCGGGCGAGCUCGGCCCAGCGGCAUAGGUGGCCUGGCCGCGGGCGACCUCGGCCUCGGCGGCGCGGGUGGCCUUGCCUCUCCGGUACUGGGGAUGGGAGACAAAGCUGACGAGUGAGGCCCACCUGGCAGGAGAGGAGCUGCAGGACCUAGGUGUCGGAGAGGGAGAGAGAGGAGCAGCGGAUGGGCAGUUUCGUUUUCUCGCAACGUGCCUCCACGCUGAUAUCGUGAUCUGGCACACCAUGCACGUAAAAAUGUCCAUUUUAGAUAAAUUUGUAAGAUUUUUUCUGUUUUCGGUGGCAAUUUUGUAAGAGCAAUAGUUAAAGUGAUAUUUGGAUAACGGUGUUUAAUAAUAGUAAAAAUAUAAAAAGUCCACGGGUUUGGCACCCAAUGGGUCGGUUUUGCUCCACCCGCGUCCGACCUGACCCUUGCCUUCCCCCCUCGCCAGUCGCCUCGACUCCACCCGCCGCUCUCACGACUCUACCCCUCCCAGGCUCGCACGACUUUCUCUUCUUCGCGCCGCCGCCACAAUCCACGCCAGCGUCUCCUGCGCGCCGCAUCUCACUGGUGAGGACCAUCCAUCCUCUCUCCCCCUCCCCCUCCCUCUCCCACUCCCUCCUGCAUCCUGCUCCACCCCCAACCUUUUUCCCAAACCAUAACGUGUCAUGUGUUCUUGAUUUUGACGGAAUUCUCAGCGAAAGGGCAAGCUCCGCGAGGGGCCCGGGGGGAAGACGACCUGCAUCAAUCGGAUUGACAAUCUGUAAGGUGUGUGUGUUCUUCCUACCCCUCCGAGUGCCUUCAUGUGAAAGUGGUGUCUGAUUUUGCAUCCCGUUGAGUUCUUUUUUGAGAGAGAGGAAGGGAAGGGAGAGGGAGAGAGAGCGAGAGGGAGAGAGGGAGAAGGGGAGAGAGAGAGGGAGCGAGAGGGAGAGGGAGAGGGAGGGAGAGCGAGCGCGAGAGGGAGAGGGAGAGGGAGACCUCAUUCUCAGGAAAUUCAUACUCUCAGGACGCAAUGAUAGCCUUGCUCAUAUGUCAUUCUUGCUAGAUAGUUGCAGAAAAAACUGACUCAUUAUGUUGCUAGAUUAAACAGCUUAAUUCCUUUGUCUGGUCUGCCACUUUAUUUCCCUGCAUGGUGAAUGAUGCUUUCUGUUUCAUGUGGCCUUGCCUGAUUGUUUGGGUUGAAGUAGUACUAUGGCUCCUUUCUAAUUUUACAUCUUCAUUAGAUGAGGCUGUUGUACAUCGAGUCUGGAAUUAGACAAGCAUUUAGAACAGGGUACACUUUGCUUGUGCUGCAGGUAGUUCCGGGCCCUGUUGUUUCGAAGUUUUCAUCACUAGGUGACUUUUCUUUGGAAUGAUUUUCACUGAUCAUCAGACAUAAUAAUAUUAGUUUCAGUAGGUAUCAAACUGUCAGCAGUCUGAUCUCCUUGCUACUGCAUGCACAGAAAGGGGUGGGUAGAUAACUGAAUGGAAUUUUCAAUAUAAAAGUGAGUUAGUAAUAGACACAAUAUGGUUUCGAUAUCUACUUAAUAUGUCACCUGAAUAUGUCUCUAAGCAUCUCAUUUGUUAAAUAGUACUGAAUAUGUCUUUGAAAAUGAAUUUGCAUUGAUUCAACAUCAAGAAUGAAACACUUCUUCGAGUAGAGGUUCUAUAAUUGAAAUAACCUGAUGUUUAAUUGAUAGUGUUUCUGAUCCCUCAUGGUUAAUUAAUCUGAUGGGCAAUUAAAAUAUUCUGAGACUUGCAUAUAGUCAGAUCCCAAGAAAAUGUGGCUUAGUCCAAAGUUUUUAACUUGCCUGAUCCUGCCUUGCUAAUUCUAUCAUCUGGAUACUGUCAUUUUUACCUUGCCUCUAUUACAUAUCCAAAUCCUUCUUGCACUUAUAUAUGUUUGUAAUGUUUUUCUCUUCAUUGGAUGAGGCUCAAAGGAAGAAGUGAUGAGUAAGCGUCAAAUUUUGCUAAGAAUUUCAGAAGCCAUUGUAUCAGAUCAACCUUGUGCUAGAUUGUUCAUAUAAACUUCUGAAUUUGCCAAGCAUUUGAAGUUGAAGCUCUAAGACAUGUUAUUGUGUCAUCUUUCUGAAUUUUUUAUCCUUUGAAGCUCAAGAAAUAUUCAUACAGAACUUCUCAUAACUUUUGAACUUUAUUUCAUUUUGCCUUGGACUUCUUAUAUGCAGUAUAGUUUUUAAUUCAAAUGUUGCUUGAUGCCUGUUAAUUAGCCUACCCAGCCACUUUUCUCUUCAAUAGAAUCAAGAGCCUGUGCUGCCCUGUAAGCUUGAUAAAAUGUUCUACUGAUUUGGAGACCAUGGAUACUUUGUUAUGCAUGUGCUUUUCUGUAAGCGUUAGUUCAAAUCAGCAGCAUACUGCUGUCCAUUACCGUUGUUCCCAGUCAAACACACAAAAGAAUCUGAAUAACGUUACCCAAGGUAACCAAACAAAAUCUAGGAAUCGUUACUCUGUAACAGAUAGCGGGGGUAGUUGAUAACAUUACUGUUACCUCCCCAUUGGAUGAAACAAACACUAUCCAAAAUUUUGGUCUCCCUUCAGUUAGCUAUUGAUUCAUUGCUGUUACGUCUCUCCUGGAUUUACGUAAACCUGCUGUUGCCAUGGUUUGUUUGCUGUGGCAGUUAAUUUUGAUGCAGCCCAGUUUGUUUCUGUUAGAGAAACUGAGGAAGAGCAUUGCUUGAUGCUCCAUCCAUUGAAAAUUCUUCUAGUGUCUCUCAAUCGCGAGAGCAUAUGGAUCGCCUGUAGAUAACUCAUUUGUGGUAUUUGUAUCAGGCUUUGAUGGUUGCUCAAUGAAAUGGCCUCCCGUCCAAAGCUGUCUGGUAUUCAGAAGCAGGUCUUGACGCUGUACAGGGGAUUCCUUCGGACAGCACGCCUAAAAGACCCAGAAGAGCGGCGCAGGAUCGAGUCUGUUGUCUCGGCAGAGUUCCGUGACAACGCAAGGAAUGUCGACCGUAGGAACUUUGUAUACAUAGAGUACUUGCUGAGGAGAGGGAAGAGACAGCUUGAGCAGCUCAAGAAUCCUGAUAUUACUGGACUUGCUACCCUUGAAGUAAAGAAAUGAGGUAUAUAGUGUUUUACUAACCAUUCAGUUUUUUAAGUACUGUAAAUGCUUAGGAAAUCUUCUUGUAGCUAUAAAAUAUGAGAAUUACGAGCCAGUUCUUCCCUUUAGAACAAUGGUGAAUUGCUGAUAGUUAUCUGCAAAGUACUUACCAUUUUCCACUUGAAGUGAUCUUCUAAACUAGCUAUUUAUUUCCCUUAGAACAAUGCUGAUAGCUAUCCACAAAGUACUUACUGUUUUCCACUUAUGAAUGUUGAAACAGAAAGUGGUCUUCUAAACUGUUAAGUAACUAUGACCUGAAAUCACGGUUUAUUUAGAAAAUGCUAAGAUGGGAUUACUUGUACAGGAUAACACACACGCAUGCCUUUUUUUAUGGCUGUGACAAGAACCUGUGUUUUAAUUCUAUGCGUAAGUAUGUGACAGCUAUGUUCAUGCUUCUCUCUAGUCUGAAAUGGGUUAAGGCAAAAUUGGCUGCAGGACACUGUUAAAAGGUGUCUUUUGCCACAGACCACUAAGAAAGAGUGGCUUGCUAGUAGACACUACAAAACCAUGUGCAUUUGCUGGAAGACACUGCACCCAUUAUUUUAUUCAGUUUAAUUCUAGAGCUACAGGGAAAGACAACUUUGCACCUGCUCUCCUCUUUCGUAGUCCCGAUCUGUUUUCCCCCUCUCUCCUUGCCUUUCUCAUUCACAUUCCUCCCCCCUCAAAUCCGUGUCAAGUGGCAUGAUGUGUUGUGGCGGGCCAUUGUGAACGAGAUGCAGUGGUGGGCCCCGGCGGGAUCCGGUGGCUGAGGCAUUUGUAGCACUCGACGAAGGGUGCAUUGGAGCUCCGGGCUGGGUAGCGAGUGAUGGAGCUCCAGGCAGGGACGGCGGCGCGAAGGCCCACUCGCAGCAGUGGGCGUCGUGACUGCAUGUAGCAUGCCAAUGGAGCUCCUACUGGGCAGAGCAGCGAUGCUUGCAGUGGCGGGAUCUUGCCGAUGGUCCUGGUGAGAAGCAGUGGCCUCAUUUUUUUUUUCUUUUUUUCCCUCCCCAUUGCUGGUGGUCGGCACAGCAACAUCUUGGGGAGCCCGCUGCUAAUCUGCGCUGUGCUGGUUCCCUGGCGGUGCUGCUGUGCUGCAGGGGAGGCUGCUACGACACGCUGCUUGCUGCUCCACCUGCUCACAAGAAUGGCGAUGAUCUGGAUUCAGUAAAAAAGUCAUGACAGGCGAUGCUCUUGUCCUUGUGAUGAUCCGGUGUUGUUCUCUCACUGCCCAUGGAUAAUCUUGAUUUUGUUCCAUGUCUUUCGUCUUAUUUUUCUUACCGCAAUAUGAUUUGAUAUUUGAAGGGUGUGAAGGGCAGGGCAUGGAAGGGUUAUACUUGUCCAGAUUUAAGUGUUUUGAGUUGGAAACAUUAUUAUAUAAGUUAUAGUGUCUCUCAGCUGAUUUACAUGGUUUUGUAAUGGCUUCCAGCAAAAUCACUCUUUUUUAGUGCUCAUGGCGAAAGACACCUUUUUAACGGUGUCUGGUAGCAAAUUUUCCCAAGGGUUAAUUGCAUGGCUGUGCCUUCUACUACUGUGCAUACAUCUAAAGAACCAUAAUUUGAUAGCUGUAUAUUAUUAUUAUUCUUAUUAUUUUUAUCUAGGUUAGUAACAAUAUAAGGAUGUUCAUCAAAGUUUCUUCUUCUAGCACUUUUUUGUCAGCAUUUCUUUUGGAAAUUUCCAGGCCUUUUCAUUGCCAGAACUAAUCAUAAUGGGAGGAUUUGGGAAUCUCAAGAACCUGCCAAUGAUGACGUCCAAAGAACAUAAAUAUGACCAUACAUCAGAGUUUUUUUCAGCUGUGACUUUCUGGGGUUCCUUAAUUAGCCUAUGGGAAUCUCAAGAUAAAUCUGGUAGUACCUGUCUGGUUAUCCAGGUAGUAAUAUCAAAUUUACUACUCUAUUUUGGUGUAACCAGACUUCAUACUGGGCCUAUGUGAUCCAAGGAUUCUUGUGCAAUCAUGGAAUUUGGAUGUUUAUUGAUUUGAUACGAUAUUAGCCUAGUUUAAAAAAUGGUGUUGAAAUUCUGUGAUGAAUCAGCAAAGAUUGUCCCUGGCUUUGAUAGCUGGUGUUUGGACACUUCUGUUAUCAUUCCCAUGUCCAAAUAAUUUGCUACAAUUCUAUUUAAGUUCCUUCUGGUCUUAUCUCCAUCAGAAGUAGCCUAAUUCCAUAUCUGACUAACCUUUUCCUUGGUUUUUCCCUCAUUAUGUGAUUUAGUCAAUUUGUAAAGUUCAUAGGAAAAGGAAUUUGGACGUUGCUUGUUACUUAGAAGCAGCUCAAGCAUAGCAAUUCUGAGGCAACAGCAGAAGAAUAUAUGUGCUCUAUGUUGGUCGCAUGAGUUUGGGAUAUAACAGGAUCUUCCAAACACA